CUCAAAUUGCAUACUAAUUCUUUUGCUCUUUCAUAAUUAAUUCUCUCCCAUUUCCCACAGAGACUGUUUUAUACCUUCUUUUCUCUUCUUAGGCCUCAUAUAUACAACCAUCUCCCUCCUCCCUUUCAACCCAAGACCUGGCCUCAUACUUCACUGAAAAAAAAUGGGAUGCAUCUUCCUCUUCAGUCUCACAAUUCAGAUCACCUUAGUAUCAUCCCCCAAAUAUCUGCUUGUCCCCAUUAUGAAGAAAUUAAGUUGAUUUAUAUUCAGAACUUGGAGCUUGGACCUGCCAUAAUCACAGAAUUGGAAGGGACCUCAAAGGCCAUCUAGUUCAAUUUAGAAGCCUCUACAAUCAUAACCAACAGUUGGUCAUCCAGAUUUUAUUUGAAGCUCUCUCAUAAGAGGAAACCCUCAUGACUCUUCCAAGCAGUCCAUUCGAAUUCUGGACAACUCUAUUGAAGAAUUUCCCUUAUACCAACCUUAAAUUGGUCUCUUUGCAACCUCUACUAAUUGCUCUCUGUUGCUCUCUGGGGUUACUCUGAAGAAGCCUAAUCCUUCUCAUAUAUUAUAGCUUUUUAAAUACUUACAGAUUACCUCCUGAAAGAGAUUCCAAAAUGAAAACUUCCCAGGAAUAUUUUAGCCAAAUUCCAGAGCUACGAGAUCAAGGAGGAAAAUAUUGCAAACAACCAGGAAAAAAAUUCAAAUAUCAUGGAGUCGUCACACAGGAUUUAGCAUCUUUCACAUUAAAGUAUUAAAGGGCUUCUAGUAUGCAAAGGAGCUAGAAUUACAACCAAGAAUAAACUACAAAGCAAACCAAACA
rnacentral:lncRNA from 1 species